GAUGAACGCUGGCGGCGUGCCUAAUACAUGCAAGUCGAGCGAACAGACGAGGAGCUUGCUCCUCUGACGUUAGCGGCGGACGGGUGAGUAACACGUGGAUAACCUACCUAUAAGACUGGGAUAACUUCGGGAAACCGGAGCUAAUACCGGAUAAUAUAUUGAACCGCAUGGUUCAAUAGUGAAAGACGGUUUUGCUGUCACUUAUAGAUGGAUCCGCGCCGCAUUAGCUAGUGGUAAGGUAACGGCUUACCAAGGCAACGAUGCGUAGCCGACCUGAGAGGGUGAUCGGCCACACUGGAACUGAGACACGGUCCAGACUCCUACGGGAGGCAGCAGUAGGGAAUCUUCCGCAAUGGGCGAAAGCUUGACGGAGCAACGCCGCGUGAGUGAUGAAGGUCUUCGGAUCGUAAAACUCUGUUAUUAGGGAAGAACAAAUGUGUAAGUAACUAUGCACGUCUUGACGGUACCUAAUCAGAAAGCCACGGCUAACUACGUG
rnacentral:rRNA from 1 species